GCAGGGAGAAGAAGCAUGUAAUACUUUGAAAACGGAGUGAAUGUGAGAAGACAACAUGGCCAACCACAAAGUUAGAGCAUCUGAUGAGAAGAAGGUAUACCUAGCUUCAAAAUUCAUCACACAAGCACCUCCAGGGGAGUUUAAGGAAGUAUUCUGUGAUAUUCGGUUGCUGGUUAACAAUGAUGAUCUCCUCAGGAAAAGGAUGGGACAAGCAAUUGCUCAAUAUAACAUGGAUCAGUUCAUACCCGUGAAGCUAGAAGGGUAUGAUGAUCAUGUUUUAGUUACAGAGCACGGUUACCUAGGUAACAACCGAUUUUUAGAUCCAAGAAACAGAAUUUCUUUUAAGUUUGAUCAUUUACGAAAAAUAGCAUGUGAUCCGCAGCUACGGCUUACAGAACAAAAUUUAACAUAUUUACGAGAUUCCUGUGAUAGGGCUUUAAGAGCCUAUAUGAAACAGAAUUAUUCUACUGGCUUUAGUACUGUUUAUGGUAAAAUUAUAAAUGGGAAAAAGACCAUUAUUGCAUGUAUUGAAAGCCACCAGUUUCAGCCCCAGAAAUUCUGGAAUGGAUGCUGGAGAUCACAGUGGAAGUUAACCGUCACACCACCCACAGCACAGGUAAUUGGAAUGCUCAAGUCUCAAGUUCAUUAUUAUGAAAAUGGAAAUAUUCAGCUAGUUGUCCAUAAAGAUAUACAAGAGUCAUUAACUGUUUUCAGUGAAGAUCAAACUGCGAAGGUGUUUAUUAAGAUCAUCGAAAAGGUAGAAAAUGGGUAUCAGGCAGCAGUUAAUGAAAACUACCGCACAAUAUCACAUACAGCAUUUAAAGCCUUGCGCAGACAGCUUCCAAUUACCUACCACAAAGUUGACUGGAACAAAAUACUUAACUACAAGGUCUCUAAAGAACUCAAGACAAGAUCUGCAAAGACGCCAAGUUUAAACAUGUUUAAUAGCCCAUUGUAGCAGUCUCUGGUAUGUGUGGGCAUAAAAGAUUCAACAGGCUUUGCUCAUAAAAUAAAUAUGAGAGUGACUUAUAAGAACGUUAACUUCAAGGGAUAUUGCUGAACCUAUAACACUCUUUUGACUAAUUCAUGUAUUUUCUGCCUUGUUGAAUCAAGUGCCUAUGUCAC
rnacentral:lncRNA from 1 species